GAAGCGAAGAUCCCCGGAGAGGUGAAUGAGGAUUUUACCACUGGAACUAGAGAGCUAGGCUCUGACUGGUCUACUACAGCAAGGAAUGUGCCAGCGGCCAAUCUGAUGAACAUGUGGCAGAAGAUUUGGCAAUGGGUGAAGAAACACUGAGAUUAAAAUGCAACCACAGGUGGAGGCUUCACCCAAACUUUUCAGACGGAUGUGAGAUACAAAGUUACCCAAGUAUAAAUGGUUGAAGAU